rnacentral:rRNA from 1 species
GACGAACGCUGGCGGCGUGCUUAACACAUGCAAGUCGAGCGGUAAGGCCCUUUCGGGGGUACACGAGCGGCGAACGGGUGAGUAACACGUGGGUGACCUGCCUUUAGCUCUGGGAUAAGCCUGGGAAACUGGGUCUAAUACCGGAUAUGACCCUAUGGCGCAUGUUGUGGGGUGGAAAGCCUUGUGCGGCUAGGGAUGGGCCCGCGGCCUAUCAGCUUGUUGGUGGGGUGAUGGCCUACCAGGCGACGACGGUAGCCGGCCUGAGAGGGCGACCGGCCACACUGGGACUGAGACACGGCCCAGACUCCUACGGGAGGCAGCAGUGGGAAUCUUGCGCAAUGGGCGAAAGCCUGACGCA